rnacentral:rRNA from 1 species
UACGUAGGGUGCAAGCGUUGUCCGGAAUUAUUGGGCGUAAAGAGCUUGUAGGCGGUUUGUCGCGUCUGCUGUGAAAUUUCGGGGCUCAACCCCGAACUUGCAGUGGGUACGGGCAGACUAGAGUGUGGUAGGGGAGACUGGAAUUCCUGGUGUAGCGGUGAAGUGCGCAGAUAUCAGGAGGAACACCUAUUGCGAAGGCAGCUCGCUGGGACGUCACUGACGCUGAGACGCGAAAGCGUGGGGAGCAAACAGG